rnacentral:rRNA from 1 species
AUGAACGCUGGCGGCGUGCCUAACACAUGCAAGUCGAACGGGGUGUCCGGAGGGCUUCGGCCCGACGGGCGCCUAGUGGCGGACGGGUGAGUAACGCGUGGGCAACCUGCCCCGCACCGGGGGACAACGGGUGGAAACGCCCGCUAAAACCGCAUGAAGGGAGCGAGUCGCAUGACAGGCUCCCCAAAUCUGGGGGCGAACAGCCCCCUUAGGUGCGGGAUGGGCCCGCGUCCGAUUAGCUAGUUGGCGGUGCAACGGACCACCAAGGCGACGAUCGGUAGCCGGCUUGAGAGAGUGACCGGCCACAUUGGGACUGAGACACGGCCCAAACUCCUACGGGAGGCAGCAGUGGGGGAUAUUGCACAAUGGGGGGAACCCUGAUGCAGCGACGCCGCGUGAGUGAAGAAGCGCCUAGGCGCGUAAAGCUCUAUCGGCGGGGAAGAAAGGCCGGCAACGGCCAUGACGGUACCCGACUAAGAAGCCCCGGCUAACUACGUGCCAGCAGCCGCGGUAAUACGUAGGGGGCAAGCGUUAUCCGGAUUUACUGGGUGUAAAGGGAGUGUAGGCGGCCAUGCAAGUCAGGCGUGAAAGCCCGGGGCCCAACCCCGGGACUGCGCUUGAGACUGCGUGGCUGGAGUAUCGGAGAGGCAGGCGGAAUUCCUAGUGUAGCGGUGAAAUGCGUAGAUAUUAGGAGGAACACCAGUGGCGAAGGCGGCCUGCUGGACGACAACUGACGCUGAGGCUCGAAAGCGUGGGGAGCAAACAGGAUUAGAUACCCUGGUAGUCCACGCCGUAAACGAUGAACACUAGGUGUCGGGGGCCAAACGGCCUUCGGUGCCGCAGCAAACGCAAUAAGUGUUCCACCUGGGGAGUACGUUCGCAAGAAUGAAACUCAAAGGAGUUGACGGGGACCCGCACAAGCGGUGGAGCAUGUGGUUUAAUUCGACGCAACCCGAAGAACCUUACCAGGCCUUGACAUCCCAACGACCACCGGAGUAACUUCCGGCUUCCGAAAGGACGGUGGAGACAGGUGGUGCAUGGUUGUCGUCAGCUCGUGUCGUGAGAUGUUGGGUUAAGUCCCGCAACGAGCGCAACCCUUGCCCCUAGUAGCCAGCAAGAAAGAUGGGCACUCUAGGGGGACUGCCGGGGACAACCCGGAGGAAGGCGGGGACGACGUCAAAUCAUCAUGCCCCUUAUGGUCUGGGCUACACACGUGCUACAAUGGCGGCGACAGAGGGAUGCAAACCCGCGAGGGGGAGCGAAUCCCAAAAAAGCCGUCCCAGUUCGGAUUGCACCCUGCAACUCGGGUGCAUGAAGCUGGAAUCGCUAGUAAUCGCGAAUCAGAAUGUCGCGGUGAAUACGUUCCCGGGUCUUGUACACACCGCCCGUCACACCAUGGGAGAUGGAAAUGCCCGAAGUCGGUGACCCAACGCUAUGCGAGGGAGCCGCCGAAGGUGGAACCAUUAACUGGGGUG